AGAAUCGAAGCGCGUUCGUUUCUUCACCGGCCUACACCCCCCCUCCUCCUCCUCCAUCGCCACCAUCAUCGCCGCCGCCGCCGCCGUUCCCAUCCCUUCUUGACCUCCGCAAUCUCGAGUUUCGCCAGCUGCCCCAACCUUUAAUUCCCUUCUGGGUCUUAGCCCCCCGGGGGGGGGAGGCCUGAGAUGAAACGCCCCCUCGCCGCCGGCAAGGACGCCGAGGCCAAGAAGAAGAAGCUCCAGCCCAACCAGGAGGAGGAGUAGCCGCCCCCGAGGGGGAAAGCGCGGCCCCACUGGCCGAGUUCACCCACCUCAAUGAGGACCCGCUGUUCAAGGUGCUCAAGCACGUCGACGCCCGCACGCUCACGGUGGAGGGGGCGGCGGAGGCGGCUCUGAGAUGUGCCCAAACCGAAGCACCUUCUCCAAGAUUUGGAAAAUCGAAAUACAGCACCUUCGCCCAAAUCCAGAAAAACCUCAUUCAGGUCUUGAGCCCGUUUUGACUACUUUGCCUCCGAUUUCUCCACCAACACGUUCCCAACCGAAGCCCUCACCGAGACGAUGCCGUCGCCGGUUGUGCUUCUUUGGCUUGCUUGUAUGACGGACGGUGGAGGCGCAGGGCAGAGGAAUCGGCCAUGGGAGGACAUCGACACAGCCACGACAGGUAAAUGCAAGGGACACGCCACGAGACGGCAAAAACUUUUUGACAUCAUGUUGUUACUUCAAGUUGAUUGAGGAGUAGUGAGUGCGUAGUCAUGGUGAGAUGUUUGCAGCAUUGAGCUUAUUUAUAUGAAUACUAGAAAAGAUGGCUGCCUUGAUAUAAAUUGGUGUAAAAUUAAAGCAACUGAUAUUUCUUUUUUCUUUUUCUUUUUUUUUCGGUUGAGUUCAUCUUAGAGAAGUCGUAAUUAGUGGAAGCACCGGAGAAGAGAGCAGACACGGGUAUGACUGUGCACAAGGAGAAGCAAAAACAGAAAAUCCGAACUGAAUCCAAUUGUUUAUUUGAUAGGAUUUUAUCGGGUUCAGAUA